rnacentral:rRNA from 1 species
UAUUGGUCAAUGGGCGCAAGCCUGAACCAGCCAUCCUGCGUGCAGGAAGAAGGCCCUAUGGGUUGUAAACUGCUUUUGUCAGGGAAUAAACCUGUGGAUUUAUCCGCAGCUGAAGGUACCUGAAGAAUAAGCACCGGCUAACUCCGUGCCAGCAGCCGCGGUAAUACGGAGGGUGCAAGCGUUAUCCGGAAUUACUGGGUUUAAAGGGUGCGUAGGCGGCUGUGUAAGUCAGGAGUGAAAGUUUGCGGCUUAACCGUAAAAUUGCUUUUGAUACUGCACGGCUAGAAUCAGGAUGAGGUCAGCGGAAUGUGGCAUGUAGCGGUGAAAUGCAUAGAUAUGCCAUAGAACACCAAUUGCGAAGGCAGCUGGCUAGACCUGUAUUGACGCUGAGGCACGAAAGCGUGGGGAGCGAACAGG